AGAGUUUGAUUAUGGCUCAGAUUGAACGCUGGCGGCAGGCCUAACACAUGCAAGUCGAACGGUAACAGGAAACAGCUUGCUGUUUCGCUGACGAGUGGCGGACGGGUGAGUAAUGUCUGGGAAACUGCCUGAUGGAGGGGGAUAACUACUGGAAACGGUAGCUAAUACCGCAUAACGUCGCAAGACCAAAGAGGGGGACCUUCGGGCCUCUUGCCAUCGGAUGUGCCCAGAUGGGAUUAGCUAGUAGGUGGGGUAACGGCUCACCUAGGCGACGAUCCCUAGCUGGUCUGAGAGGAUGACCAGCCACACUGGAACUGAGACACGGUCCAGACUCCUACGGGAGGCAGCAGUGGGGAAUAUUGCACAAUGGGCGCAAGCCUGAUGCAGCCAUGCCGCGUGUAUGAAGAAGGCCUUCGGGUUGUAAAGUACUUUCAGCGGGGAGGAAGGGAGUAAAGUUAAUACCUUUGCUCAUUGACGUUACCCGCAGAAGAAGCACCGGCUAACUCCGUGCCAGCAGCCGCGGUAAUAAGGGCG
rnacentral:rRNA from 1 species